rnacentral:rRNA from 1 species
UACGUAGGGUGCAAGCGUUAAUCGGAAUUACUGGGCGUAAAGCGCACGUAGGCGGCUACACAAGUCAGAGGUGAAAGCCCGGGGCUCAACCCCGGAACUGCCUUUGAAACUGGGUGGCUAGAAUCUUGGAGAGGCGAGUGGAAUUCCGAGUGUAGAGGUGAAAUUCGUAGAUAUUCGGAAGAACACCAGUGGCGAAGGCGACUCGCUGGACAAGUAUUGACGCUGAGGUGCGAAAGCGUGGGGAGCAAACAGG